AGAGAGCUCAAAAGAGUGAGCAAAAUUGCAAAGAAAGAUCAACGAAAAAACUUACAUGUUGAUAGUGAUGAAGGAACUCUACUUCUGUGCCAAUCGUUCUUCCCGGCGAGCGAUCUUCCUCUCCCGCGUCGCCUUGUUCUUGGCGCGCCUGGCCUCGAAUUGAUCGGUGAGAGUCUUCUCGCGAGCUUUCUCGGCCUUGAACUUGUGAAUGUUCUCCAUGAGGACGCGCUUAUUCUUGAAAACGUUACCCUUGACCUUCAUGUACAUGCUGUGGUACAUAUGCUUGUCGAUCUUCUU
rnacentral:lncRNA from 1 species